GGCGCUCGGAMCGCGACCCCAG
rnacentral:rRNA from 1 species